rnacentral:rRNA from 1 species
AACGAACGCUGGCGGCGUGCCUAACACAUGCAAGUCGAACGGGAAAACCCGCAAGGGUGAGUACAGUGGCGCACGGGUGCGUAACACGUGGGUAAUCUGCCCAGAAGCCCGGAAUAACUCCCCGAAAGGGGUGCUAAUGCCGGAUGAGACCACGGGGACUUCGGUUCCUGGGGGAAAAGGUGGCCUCUGUAUACAAGCUAUCACUUCUGGAUGAGCCCGCGGCCCAUCAGCUAGUUGGCGGGGUAAUGGCCCACCAAGGCUACGACGGGUAGCAGGUCUGAGAGGACGAUCAGCCACACUGGAACGGAGAGACGGUCCAGACUACUACGGGAGGCAGCAGUGGGGAAGCUUGGGAAAUGGGGGAAAGCCUGACGAAGCAACGCGGCGUGUGUGAAGAAGGUCUUCGGAUCGUAAAGCACUGUCGGGAGGGACGAAUAAGGGCCGGGUGAACAAUCCGGUUCGACGACGGUACCUCCAGAGGAAGCACCGGCUAACUCUGUGCCAGCAGCCGCCGCCGUA